rnacentral:sRNA from 1 species
UCAUGUAAAUAAGUUUAAUUAUACAGCUUGCUGUUGAAAAGUCUGUGGUUAAGGAUACUUAUAGAAUCCAGUUUGGUUUUUGUUUCAAUUUCUCACUUUUGCAGUUAUGAAUAUAGACAAUUAGGCAUUUGGUUAAAUGGAAAGAGAGAGCAGUUGCUGAACUAGGUGAGGGAGAACUAAGCAUACUGAGACUGUUGAGUAUCAGUUGUCUCUGGAUAAUCCAAGAAGAUGGUCAUCAAAUCUAGGCUGAGGACUACCACAAAGACUCCCACUGCCAAGAAUUAAGGAACAGGUGGAGACUAAUAUUGACUCCUCACAAAUCCCAGGCCGACUCGACAGCAGAGAAAACAGCAGACAAUGUCUCUUCUAGCACCCCGCUCUGUGUGAUCACCAAUCGCCCUCUGCCUAGCACUGCCAAUGGGGUUACAGCUACUCCUGUGCUCUCCAUUACUGGAACAGAUUCCUCUGUGGAAGCCAGGGAGAAGAGGAGGUCCUAUCUGACUCCUGUACGGGAUGAGGAAGCAGAGUCUUUACGGAAAGCACGCUCCAGACAAGCUCGGCAGACACGAAGGUCUACUCAAGGUGUCACCCUAACAGACCUUCAAGAAGCAGAAAGGACAUUCAGCCGGUCGAGGGCAGAGAGGCAAGCUCAGGAGCAGCCUCGUGAGAAGCCCACAGACACUGAAGGGCUUGAGGGGAGCCCUGAGAAGCAUGAGCCCUCAGCAGUUCCAGCAACAGAAGCUGGGGAGGGCCAGCAGCCCUGGGGCAGAAGUCUGGAUGAAGAGCCUAUCUGUCAUCGCCUGAGGUGCCCAGCUCAGCCAGACAAACCCACCACGCCAGCAUCUCCUUCUACAUCAAGACCCUCACUCUACACCAGUUCCCACCUGCUAUGGACAAAUAGAUUUUCAGUCCCUGAUUCUGAGAGUUCAAAGACUACCACAGACACUACCACUGCAAAGGAAAUGGACAAAAAUGAGAAUGAAGAAGCAGAUUUGGAUGAGCAGUCCUCUAAGAGGCUGUCCGUCCGAGAGAGGAGGCGGCCCAAGGAACGACGAAGAGGCACAGGCAUCAAUUUCUGGACAAAGGAUGAGGAUGAAACUGAUGGCUCUGAAGAGGUCAAAGAAACAUGGCAGGUUACAUGUUCGAAUUGACUUGCUAGUAACAUCUCACCUCCUUGAGUGAAGGAACGUCUUCUUGAAGGACAACUUAAAAGCCUACUCAGAGUAUCAAGAUUCAGUGGGUAGAGCAUCAGCAUUCUUCUGCUGUCCUUGACAUAGGUGGGUAGUUAUGUAUGUCAGGAAGUAAGACUUUUCAUACUUUUCUUUUCCCCUAGAAUCUCUGUUGCUUUUAGAUAAAUCAGGUGGCACUCAAUCUGAACAAAAUCACUGAAACCUUACCCUCAAAGUUAGCAAUGUAGCUGUCCCCAUCCAGAAUGCAAUCAGUAGGUCUGGAUUACUAAUCAUCUCUCAAAACUCAUUGGUAAAGGAGAUAGUAUUAAAGAGUUACUAAAUUACAGAUAUCAAGGUACGUGCCUUAGAUAACUGGGGGUAUGCUUGUGGAGAGAUCUGUUGAUAAAAGUCUUCUAAAAGAGUUAAGCUAUUAAAUGCAAGGUUUUCAAACUAAAUGAAAGAACACAAUUGGAAUUUGCUAGCAGAGCUGAGUUUUGAACUUUAACAGGAAAUAAAUGCCAUAGAAAUAAAUAUAAAUAUACCAAAAGCCACUAAAUGCAUUUUCCAUUUUGUCCUGCCUUCACUUUGGUAAGCAUCUUCAUUCAACAAGUGCUUUUAAGCGCCGAUUUAUGAUCAAGCACUUUUCUAGAUUCUGGGGUUGCAACAAUGAAAAACCGCCCUGCUCUUAUGGAAUUUACAUUCUAGUUGGAGAGACAGACAAAAUAAAUAUGUAAAGUAAAUACUAUGUUAAAAGGUGAUACGUGCUAUGGAAAAACCAUAUAGAGUAGGCUAAGGAGGAAUCAGAAGUGCCAACAUGGAAGGAGGUUGACAUUAUAAGUAGGGUGGUCAGGAUAGGCCUUACUGAGAAAAUAUGAUUUAAGCCUAGUCUUAAAGGAAGCAAGGUGGGAAACUAUGUGGACAUGUAGGGGUAGAGUGUUAUGGGCAGAGGGAAUAGCAAUUGCAAAGACCCUAAGAUAAGUGUCUGGCAUGCUUGAGGACAGGUUAAAAAAAAA